rnacentral:rRNA from 1 species
UUUGAACGCUGGCGGCAGGCCUAACACAUGCAAGUCGAGCGGAUGAAGGGAGCUUGCUCCUGGAUUCAGCGGCGGACGGGUGAGUAAUGCCUAGGAAUCUGCCUGGUAGUGGGGGAUAACGUCCGGAAACGGGCGCUAAUACCGCAUACGUCCUGAGGGAGAAAGUGGGGGAUCUUCGGACCUCACGCUAUCAGAUGAGCCUAGGUCGGAUUAGCUAGUUGGUGGGGUAAAGGCCUACCAAGGCGACGAUCCGUAACUGGUCUGAGAGGAUGAUCAGUCGCACUGGAACUGAGACACGGUCCAGACUCCUACGGGAGGCAGCAGUGGGGAAUAUUGGACAAUGGGCGAAAGCCUGAUCCAGCCAUGCCGCGUGUGUGAAGAAGGUCUUCGGAUUGUAAAGCACUUUAAGUUGGGAGGAAGGGCAGUAAGUUAAUACCUUGCUGUUUUGACGUUACCAACAGAAUAAGCACCGGCUAACUUCGUG